UACGUAGGUGGCAAGCGUUGUCCGGAAUUACUGGGCGUAAAGCGCGCGCAGGCGGUUCUUCAAGUCAGAGGUGAAAGCCCAGAGCUCAACUCUGGAAUGGCCUUUGAGACCAGAGAACUAGGGUACGGGAGAGGUGAGUGGAAUUCCGAGUGUAGAGGUGAAAUUCGUAGAUAUUCGGAAGAACACCAGUGGCGAAGGCGGCUCACUGGCCCGUUACCGACGCUCAGGCGCGACAGCGUGGGGAGCAAACAGG
rnacentral:rRNA from 1 species